rnacentral:rRNA from 1 species
GAUGAACGCUGACAGAAUGCUUAACACAUGCAAGUCUUUGGCAAAGCUGUGCUUGCACAGUCUAGCCAAGGCGGACGGGUGAGUAACGCGUAAGGAACUUGCCCUGCAGUCAGGGAUAACAGACGGAAACGACUGAUAAAACCUGAUAAAGUCAGACGGACUCAUGUCCAGUCUGAUGAAAAGAAAUGCUGCAGGAGAGCCUUGCGUCCUAUUAGCUUGUUGGUGGGGUAACGGCCCACCAAGGCAAUGAUAGGUAGCCGGCCUGAGAGGGUGGACGGCCACAAGGGGACUGAGAUACGGCCCUUACUCCUACGGGAGGCAGCAGUGGGGAAUAUUGGACAAUGGGGGCAACCCUGAUCCAGCAAUUCUGUGUGCACGAUGAAGGUUUUCGGAUUGUAAAGUGCUUUCAGCAGGGAAGAAAAAAAUGACGGUACCUGCAGAAGAAGCGACGGCUAAAUACGUGCCAGCAGCCGCGGUAAUACGUAUGUCGCAAGCGUUAUCCGGAAUUAUUGGGCAUAAAGGGCAUCUAGGCGGCCAGAUAAGUCUGGGGUGAAAACUUGCGGCUCAACCGCAAGCCUGCCCUGGAAACUAUAUGGCUAGAGUACUGGAGAGGUGGACGGAACUGCACGAGUAGAGGUGAAAUUCGUAGAUAUGUGCAGGAAUGCCGAUGAUGAAGAUAGUUCACUGGACGGUAACUGACGCUGAAGUGCGAAAGCUAGGGGAGCAAACAGG